GAUGAACGCUAGCUACAGGCUUAACACAUGCAAGUCGAGGGGAAACGAUAGAGAAAGCUUGCUUUUUCUAGGCGUCGACCGGCGCACGGGUGAGUAACGCGUAUGUAAUCUGCCUGUAACAGAGGGAUAACCCGGAGAAAUCCGGCCUAAUACCUCAUAAUACAUAUUAUUCGCAUGAGUUUUAUGUUAAAGAAAUUCGGUUACAGAUGAACAUGCGUUCCAUUAGCUGGUUGGCGGGGUAACGGCCCACCAAGGCGACGAUGGAUAGGGGUUCUGAGAGGAAGGUCCCCCACACUGGUACUGAGACACGGACCAGACUCCUACGGGAGGCAGCAGUGAGGAAUAUUGGUCAAUGGGCGAGAGCCUGAACCAGCCAAGUAGCGUGCAGGAUGACGGCCCUAUGGGUUGUAAACUGCUUUUAUAAGGGAAUAAAGUGGGAGUCGUGACUCUUUUUGCAUGUACCUUAUGAAUAAGGACCGGCUAAUUCCGUG
rnacentral:rRNA from 1 species